rnacentral:rRNA from 1 species
CCUACGGGAGGCAGCAGUGAGGAAUAUUGGACAAUGGGCGCAAGCCUGAUCCAGCCAUGCCGCGUGCAGGAAGACGCAUCUAUGGUGUGUAAACUGCUUUUGUACGGGAAGAAACACUCCCUCGUGAGGGAGCUUGACGGUACCGUAAGAAUAAGGAUCGGCUAACUCCGUGCCAGCAGCCGCGGUAAUACGGAGGAUCCAAGCGUUAUCCGGAAUCAUUGGGUUUAAAGGGUCCGUAGGCGGUUUAAUAAGUCAGUGGUGAAAGCCCAUCGCUCAACGAUGGAACGGCCAUUGAUACUGUUAGACUUGAAUUACUAGGAAGUAACUAGAAUAUGUAGUGUAGCGGUGAAAUGCUUAGAUAUUACAUGGAAUACCAAUUGCGAAGGCAGGUUACUACUAGUGGAUUGACGCUGAUGGACGAAAGCGUGGGGAGCGAACAGGAUUAGAUACCCUGGUAGUCCACGCCGUAAACGAUGGAUACUAGCUGUUGGGCGCAAGUUCAGUGGCUAAGCGAAAGUGAUAAGUAUCCCACCUGGGGAGUACGUUCGCAAGAAUGAAACUUAAAUGAAUUGACGG